CUAUAAAUGCGACCCGGUCCCAAGCAACCCUCCCGACACUCACUCGACCGUUGCAAACUCCAUCCCUCCGCCUUCUCUACCAAACUCCUCCUAUCACGUUCGUGCUUCUCGUCGCAUCGCCAUGGUUCUUGAGGCCACCAUGAUCUGCAUCGACAACUCCGAGUGGAUGCGAAAUGGGGACUACACGCCUAGACGACUCCAGGCGCAAGCGGACGCCGUCAAUCUCAUAAUGCGGUGCUAAGACUCAGGGUGCUCGCUUCUCUCUCGCAUGCAAAAUUGUUGCUUUAGUCUAAUGUCUCAUUUGGCCGUUCUCAAAAUUUAGGCGGUGCUUUAGAGAUUCUGAGUUGGCGCUAGCAUUGAGGAUCUCCAUGGAACAGGAACGAGCAAGACAAGAGACUGCUUCCAAAAAGGCUGAUGAGGAUGCUGCUAAAGGGAAAAAAGGUGCUGAGCAGGCUUCAAGUUCCAAAGAUGCAACUAUCAGUGAAGUAGACAAGAAUUCAGCUAUUGCUACUGAUGAUAAAAGGCACAGUUUAACUAUAAACAAGCUUUUGAGCUUUUAUGGGUUGAAACGAUAAAGAUAGCGAAUGGUUUUGCUAAAGCUCUAGCUUAUUUACACGAAUAUGGGAUCAGUCAUUGGGAUGUGAAGAGUGCUAAGAUCUUGCUUGUCUUGGUAUAUACACUAGCAGCCUUAUGUCUUAGGAAAUGGGAUGUGAAACUAAUCUAUGCCUUGAUUUUUAGGACUUUAAUUCAAAGAUUGCUGACUUUGGAUCGGCAAUGAACUUCCAAACAUAUUCUACCGGCAGAGAUUGUGUAUCACACCUCUUGUUAUGUUGCUCUAGAGUAUAUAUUUUAUGGUAAGAAUCAUUUUGAUGAUCUCAUUUCUCCUAAAUAAUAAUGACCCUUUUGUAUUAUGAAUUGGUUGUCAAAUUGC